rnacentral:lncRNA from 1 species
GUAAGAAUGUGAAAAGAAUGCAUGUUAACAUAUUAUAGAAAUGCUAGAUAAAUGCAUGUGAUUAAUGCUUUGAAUGCAUAAGAUAAAGGGCAUAUGAAUGUUAACAUUAUAAGAACAUGAUAAAAGGAAUGCAUGAUGACUUAGUGUAAAUAGUGCUAGAUGAAUGCAUUGAUUAAUGCUAAAGUAUACAUGAAAAGCACGCAUGUGGAUAAUGCUAAGUAAUGGUAUGAUAAGCAUGCAUGUGGAUAAUGCUAAGUAAUGGUAUGAUAAGCAUGAUGUAGAAAUAAUAAAUGCAAGCACGUAGUUAAUGCUAAGAAAAUAGAUGAUGACAUGAUAAAAAUGCUAAGUUCAUAUAUGAUAAGCAUGUUUUAGGGAUGCUAAAAUAAGAAUGCUAAGUAAAGGACUUAUCAUGUGAUGCUAGUAGUAUAAUGUGCAUAUGGACAAUCUAUAUACAUUAGAUCGAGUGGCAUUAUACCUAGUGUUAAAGAACAUAGGUUGAACAUGAAUGAUAUGAACCUAGUGUUAGUAAAUCAAGGUCGGACAUGAAGGACAUAUGAAUCUAG